CUACGCGAGAUCGGCAAGCAGGUGGCCAAGCGUCUUCCGAAGUUCAUCGAAAAGGGCGCGCAGCGCGCCGAGGAAUACGCCCGCGGCUUCCUGUCCGGUGGAACUCUGUUCGAGGUUCUUCUAUGUCGGCCCGAUCGACGGUCACAACCUCGACCAUCUGCUCCCCGUCCUCAAGAACGUGCGGGAUUCAAAGGUCGGCCCGACCCUGAUCCACGUCGUCACCGAAAAGGGCAAAGGCUACACCCCGGCCGAGACCUCCGCCGACAAGUAUCACGGCGUGGUCAAAUUCGAUGU
rnacentral:misc_RNA from 1 species